GAACGCUAGCUACAGGCUUAACACAUGCAAGUCGAGGGGAAACGAUAUUGGAAGCUUGCUUCUGAUAGGCGUCGACCGGCGCACGGGUGAGUAACGCGUAUCCAACCUGCCCAUCACUUGGGGGAUAACCUUGCGAAAGUAAGACUAAUACCCAAUGACGUCUCUAGAAGACAUCUGAAAGAGAUUAAAGAUUUAUCGGUGAUGGAUGGGGAUGCGUCUGAUUAGCUUGUUGGCGGGGUAACGGCCCACCAAGGCGACGAUCAGUAGGGGUUCUGAGAGGAAGGUCCCCCCACAUUGGAACUGAGACACGGUCCAAACUCCUACGGGAGGCAGCAGUGAGGAAUAUUGGUCAAUGGACGAGAGUCUGAACCAGCCAAGUAGCGUGCAGGAUGACGGCCCUAUGGGUUGUAAACUGCUUUUAUAAGGGAAUAAAGUGAGUCUCGUGAGACUUUUUGCAUGUACCUUAUGAAUAAGGACCGGCUAAUUCCGUG
rnacentral:rRNA from 1 species